CCUCAGGGAUCCCGGACAGAAGCUGUGGUGCGGGACUCAGCUCACAACCGUUGGAUUUAAUCCAACGGCCACGGAAAUAAAAGGCCAACACGCGGAUCCUCGGAGAGUUGGGUCGGGUAAAAACACGCGGAUCCGGGUUCUAACAAAACACGCGGAUCCACCCAUUUCUCAUUCAAACGCAGACAACGAAGAGAGAGAGAGAGAGAGAGAGAGAGAGAACGCAUACGACGAAUAAGAAGAAGAUCGAUCGAUCUAGAAGAAGAUUGACACCCCCACCACACCACCAAGGUCUCUCCCUCCCUCUCUCUCUCGGGUUUCAUUUCUGAUUUCCCAUUCUGGUUCGAUUUAGGGUUCGUUUUUGUUUUGAGACGAUGAAGACGAAGAAGAACGAAGACGAAGCAUCUCUUUGACUUAGGUUCCAUCUCUGAGCAUGCCCUGAAGGAGGAUAUUAGCAUGUGAUUUUACUAUCUAAAGGUGUUCUUGAUGAUGUUGUCUGCUAUUGGAUCUGUUUUCUUGUUGCUGUUGCUGCUGUUGUUGCUGUUGAUUCUGCUACUGUUGGUUCUCUUGCUGUUCAUGUUGUUACUGAAGUGGUUCUGGAUGUUACUGGCUCAAUCUGCUAUUGGAUCUAUUUUCUCUUUUAGUUGUAGUGUUGAAAAUAGGGGAAUUUGUUAUUCACCAGGGGAGUUUUUAACAUUCCAGCUUCUUGUUUACUUCUUGUUGCUGUUAAUGAUCAAGUUUAUUGGUUUCUGUAUUGAAUUCACCCAAGAGAGGAUUCUAACUUGGUAAAAGGCUCAUUUCAAGAACAGUUAUGUUGAAGUUCGUUCUUGUAAUACUUUUCAGUGGGCAUGGCAAGAAAACGGGGCAUUUCGUAUAAAGUACAUGGGUUCUCUCUGUUUCCUCCAAUAUUCAAGUUUAUUCUAGUA